rnacentral:rRNA from 1 species
GUGGGGAAUAUUGCGCAAUGGGGGAAACCCUGACGCAGCGACGCCGUGUGAGGGAAGAAGGCUUUCGGGUCGUAAACCUCUGUCAGAAAGGAAGAACCUCCCAAGUCCGAAUAGGGCUUGGGACUGACGGUACUUUCAAAGGAAGCACCGGCUAACUCCGUGCCAGCAGCCGCGGUAAUACGGAGGGUGCAAGCGUUAAUCGGAAUCACUGGGCGUAAAGCGCGCGUAGGCCGCUUUGUAAGGCGGACGUGAAAGCCCUCGGCUCAGCCGGGGAACUGCGUUCGAUACUGCGAGGCUUGAGUCCUGGAGAGGGUGGCGGAAUUCCGGGUGUAGGAGUGAAAUCCGUAGAUAUCCGGAGGAACACCGGUGGCGAAGGCGGCCACCUGGACAGGUACUGACGCUGAGGCGCGAAAGCGUGGGGAGCAAACAGGAUUAGAAACCCGUGUAGUCC